UGGCGAGAAUAGAGUUAUUUAAUUUCUCUCGAAAUCUAAAGAGCUACUUUGAGCCAUAGUUGUAGUUAUUAAAGUGAGUGUGGCAAAACUCUGUAAAGAGCUGAAAGUAGGGUUAGAUUCUAUUCGUGUUAGAUGAUGGCUAGUUCCAACAGAAAUAUAUAGAAGUAUAGGGGCUUAGAUUAAAAGUCUAGUAUUUAGAUUUAAUAGUUGGGUGUCUUAUUUAUAGGAGGGUUAGCUCGUAUAAUAGGCUAGUAAUGUGGUGCAAUUUUAGUAGUAAGAUUUAAGCUUGUAAGUGGCUAAAAUUCACAAGUUUGUUGUAAAAUAUUUAUUUUAAGAUUUUGUUUUGCUAGAUUUAUGUUGGCAGAGCUAUUAAUUAGUUAAUGGUUCUAGUAUAUGCUGAUAUGAGUAUUUUAUAUAAAUAUAAAUUAACUAAAUAGUUGUUGUUGAUUAAAAUUUAUUAGAUUUUAAAAACAUUAAAAAGGAACUCGGCAAGAACUUACUUCGCCUGUUUAGCAAAAACACGGCUCUUUG
rnacentral:rRNA from 1 species